rnacentral:other from 1 species
ACUUCAUAACCGCUUAUUCGAAAUGGUGGACUCCAACCAUUUGAACACUUCUAUUUAGAUAACGCGCUAGCAACUUGACUGAUGUUUCAGAUUUUGCUGCCAAAUAGUCAGCCAAUGACUUCCAGUAAGUUUUAAUUAACUGUUAGUUAUGUAAAAGUGAAUUUCCACUUUGUUUUUUUUU